UACGUAGGUGGCAAGCGUUGUCCGGAAUUAUUGGGCGUAAAGCGCGCGCAGGCGGCCUCUUAAGUCUGAUGUGAAAGCCCCCGGCUCAACCGGGGAGGGCCAUUGGAAACUGGGAGGCUUGAGUAUAGGAGAGAAGAGUGGAAUUCCACGUGUAGCGGUGAAAUGCGUAGAGAUGUGGAGGAACACCAGUGGCGAAGGCGACUCUUUGGCCUAUAACUGACGCUGAGGCGCGAAAGC
rnacentral:rRNA from 1 species